CAAAGCAUAGCAUCAGGAAUGCCUCCCACUUACACUGGGCCUCAGGGACGUUAAAUUCGGCCUGCUUUGA
rnacentral:tRNA from 1 species